CCUACGGGUGGCAGCAGUGAGGAAUAUUGGUCAAUGGGCGGGAGCCUGAACCAGCCAAGUCGCGUGAGGGAAGACGGUCCUAUGGAUUGUAAACCUCUUUAGGCGGGGAGAAAUGCCGGGCACGCGUGCCCGGAGGGAGAGUACCCGCAGAAUAAGCAUCGGCCAACUCCGUGCCAGCAGCCGCGGUAAUACGGAGGAAGCGAGGGUUAUCCGGAUUUAUUGGGUUUAAGGGGUGCGUAGGCGGAUUUUUAAGGCAGCGGUAAAAUGUCCGGGCUCAACCCGGGCCGGCCGUUGAAACUGGGGAGCUUGAGUGGGCGAGAAGUAUGCGGAAUGCGUGGUGUAGCGGUGAAAUGCAUAGAUAUCACGCAGAACUCCGAUUGCGAAGGCAGCAUACCGGCGCCCGACUGACGCUGAGGCACGAAAGCGUGGGGAUCGAACAGGAUUAGAUACCCUGGUAGUC
rnacentral:rRNA from 1 species